rnacentral:rRNA from 1 species
AUUGAACGCUGGCGGCAGGCCUAACACAUGCAAGUCGAACGAGUGGCGGACGGGUGAGUAAUGUCUGGGAAACUGCCCGAUGGAGGGGGAUAACUACUGGAAACGGUAGCUAAUACCGCAUACCAUCGGAUGUGCCCAGGUGGGAUUAGCUAGUGGGGGGGGUAACGGCUCACCUAGGCGACGAUCCCUAGCUGGUCUGAGAGGAUGAACAGCCACACCGGAACUGAGACACGGUCCAGACUCGUACGUGAGGCAGCAGUGGGGAUAAUUGCACAAUGGGCGGAAGCCUGAUGCAGCCAUGCCGCGUGUAUGAAGAAGGCCUUCGGGUUGGAAAGUACUUUCAGCGAGGAGGCGUUACUCGCAGAAUAAGCACCGGCUAACUCCGUGCCAGCAGCCGCGGUAAUUC